GAAACGGGACGUGGCGCGCACUUCAUUCCGUGCAAAAAACGCUGCCUUCGCGUUGUUAAGAUAUCGCCUCGAAGAUCGACUUAAUUUUCCCCGCGUCGGGAUCCCGGCUGCUUUACCGGUUUAAGGCGCGUACCUGAGAAACGGGAAUCCAUCGGCGAGAAACAUCGUUAAAUUCUCGGUAACCGCGAUGUGUAACACGCGUGAGAAUAGUUCGAGGAAGUGACGUGACUUUGGAAAUCAAACGUGCGCGUUUCUCCCGAAGCGAUGGCGGCGAACGCGUGGAAAAGAGCCAGGCCGGCUUCUCGGAAGCAAUUUCGCCAUUGGAAAAGCGUAAUUACCGGUUGGAAGCGUAAACCGUUGUCGGAAACCUGGCAGGCAGGUGAACAUUGCCCGAUGAGCAAAGUCCGUGUAUCCCACAUCUCGUUCAAGCUAACCAAGCAAGAAACAAGACCGUUUUCAUUUUCUUCCGAAAAGCAGCAAUAUCCUUCAACGCAGAAGCAAGUCCCACUUUGACCAAAACGAUUUCCAGUAGUGGUGCGACGCUGUUCUGCAAGAAACACUCGAGAGCAAAGAAACGAUCUCGGAGAGUAAAACGGUGCGGUGAAGAUGUUUGUUCCGUGCAAAUCGCACACAAACGCAAAAGGCUCUUAAAACAAAUUCCGAUAAGCAGUGCAGCUUCUCUAAAAAAAUGCACUAAUGGAUGCAACGCGGCUGAGAAGAAUAAAAAAAAAAAAGAUUGA